rnacentral:rRNA from 1 species
UACGGAGGGUGCAAGCGUUGUCCGGAUUUAUUGGGCGUAAAGAGCGUGUAGGCGGCUUUACAGGUCCGUUGUGAAAACUCGAGGCUCAACCUCGAGACGCCGGUGGAAACCGUAAAGCUAGAGUCCGGAAGAGGAGAGUGGAAUUCCUGGUGUAGCGGUGAAAUGCGCAGAUAUCAGGAGGAACACCCGUGGCGAAAGCGGCUCUCUGGGACGGUACUGACGCUGAGACGCGAAAGCGUGGGGAGCAAACAGG